rnacentral:ncRNA from 1 species
UACGUGAUUGAUUCUGUCAGCGCUAUGUGCUAAGCUAAAAGACUGGUCCAUGCAUAUCGAGUUCAACUUUAAAAUCGAACUGCGAACGGCUCAUCAGAGCUGAUGUAAUUUUUUUAGAAUUGUUCGGAUGGAUUACUGCGGUAUUUUUGGGGCUAAUAGAUGCUACAAAACUUUUCUGUUGUUCUACAAAUUCGCAGGAUUGCAAUAACACAGCAUAUUCCAAGUGACAGCCCUGUUAACCUCAUGGUAGUCCAUUAGUCUACUAUGGUUAUUCCGGC